rnacentral:snRNA from 1 species
AGAGUUGCCAUGGUGAGGGAGAUACCAUGAUCACGAAGGUGGUUUUCCCAGGGCAAGGCUUAUCCAUUGCAUUCCAGAUGUGCUAACCCCUGCGAUUUCCCCAAACGCAGGAAACUCGAUUGCAUAAUUUGUGGUAGUGGGGGGAAUGAGUUCGAGCUUUCCCCUG